AAAAAAAAAAAAAAGACAUACAGGAAUUUAAAAUAUGUUUAGCGAUGAAAUGACAGUCAUGAAAAAAAAGAACAGGCUGAUUGGGAGGAAGAAGCUACAGAGGGUGCUGGAGAUACUGUGCAGGUGAAUCUGGAGGCAGAAGAUAUAGAUAUUGGGGCAGGCAUGUCUGAAGAGGAACAGGAAGAUUGCAUUUCUGACACAAAACCACUAAGUGGAAACAGCAACUCUGGACUGUUGUAACCCAAGGACCUCAUGUAGUUUCUUGUACUUUUCACUGGUUGUUUGUCAUUUAAAAAAAAACUAUAUUUAAAUCUUUCUUCACAUCAGCAGUUUAAAAAAAAGGGGGUUGCCCAAUGUGUUCACAUAUUCAUUUAGCUUUCAGGUGAAAACAAAAGAAGAGGAAACCAUUUCUCACCCAACUCACCAAGUCUAAAUAAUGGGUGUGGCAGCUAAAGAGCAGAGAAUAACCUACUGGCUUUCAUCAGACUAAAUGUGCAUGAAUUACAACCAGGGAAAGCAAUGAAUGUUUAGGUCAGACAUUCAGAGACAAGAACCAAAAAAAAAAAAAACAAACAACAAAACUAAAAAUGAAAUGAAGUCCAACAAGUAAUCAAUGUAUGCAACAGUUUGCGCAAAAAUUUAUUUAGUCUAAUAGUUCUCACAUCAGGCUAUCAAAAAAAUGUAUUUUUAGACAAAGAGAAAACAAAUGUCAGAAAAAAAGUUCUUUAAGGACAGCAAAAAAUCAUAGGAAAACAAGGUCAUCCAAUUGCUUAUAAUGUAUAGUAGAACAAUUUUGUACUCUUAAAGAAUGUACAGGAAAAUGAUUGCUGUGAUGGAACUCAGAAGGCUAAUCCCCUGCAAUAAAGAGGCUUACAAAGUCACCAAGCUAAACUAUUGGUUGUAUUCACUUUCCAUUCACCAGACACUCUUCUUUCAAUUCAAACAGAACAAUCAAAUAAAAACAUGAUAACACAUUAUGUCUUUUAUCAUUGGCAAAAAAAAAAGAAAAAAAAGUCUUUAAAAUUGAAUUUGAAACAAAAAAAACUCAAGGGGCAGUAAUGUGGUAUUGUUGACUGGAGGAGGAAAUUGCUGGUUCAAGUCUCACCAGACAUUUCAGUAACCAUCCUCACCAUAGAAGAAAAAAGAUAUCAAAUAUGUUCUCUUUCUCCUAGUCAAAUAUACAAGCUCUACAGCAGCUUUAAUAAUGAAUUGAAAUAAAUUAAUCUCUCUUGAAGGGCUUAACCAUUGCUGGCCUAGUGAACUCAGAGCAUUCAAUCCUAUUUGUGAAGUCAUUCUAUUCCUAGAGGCCAUUACUAAGCAUCACCUGAAAAUGUCCCCCCCCCCCCCC